rnacentral:rRNA from 1 species
UACGUAGGGUGCGAGCGUUGUCCGGAAUUAUUGGGCGUAAAGAGCUUGUAGGCGGUCUGUCGCGUCUGCUGUGAAAAUCCGGGGGCUCAACCCCCGGGACUUGCAGUGGGGUACGGGCAGACUAGAGGUGUGGGUAGGGGAGACUGGAAUUCCUGGUGUAGCGGUGAAAUGCGCAGAUAUCAGGAGGAACACCGAUGGCGAAGGCGGCUCU